rnacentral:rRNA from 1 species
AUAUUAUUAAGCGGAGGAAAAGAAACUAACAAGGAUUCCCCUAGUAACGGCGAGUGAAGCGGGAAAAGCUCAACUUGAAAAUCGGUGCGCCAAACGGUGUAUCGAAUUGUAGUCUAGAGACGUUUGAUCAGUGUGUGACCCGGGUAUAAAUCUUUUGAAACAAGGUAUCAUAGAGGGUGAGAAUCCCGUCUUUGACUCGGAGUUCGCCGCGUACGAUCGACGUUCGCAGAGUCGAGUUCUUUGGGAAUGGAGCUCAAAAUGGGUGGUAAACUUCAUCUAAAGCUAAAUAUCGACGAGAGACCGAUAGCGCACAAGUA